GAUGAACGCUGGCGGCGUGCCUAAUACAUGCAAGUCGAGCGAACAGACGAGGAGCUUGCUCCUCUGACGUUAGCGGCGGACGGGUGAGUAACACGUGGAUAACCUACCUAUAAGACUGGGAUAACUUCGGGAAACCGGAGCUAAUACCGGAUAACAUGUUGAACCGCAUGGUUCAACAGUGAAAGACGGUCUUGCUGUCACUUAUAGAUGGAUCCGCGCCGCAUUAGCUAGUUGGUAAGGUAACGGCUUACCAAGGCAACGAUGCGUAGCCGACCUGAGAGGGUGAUCGGCCACACUGGAACUGAGACACGGUCCAGACUCCUACGGGAGGCAGCAGUAGGGAAUCUUCCGCAAUGGGCGAAAGCCUGACGGAGCAACGCCGCGUGAGUGAAGAAGGUCUUCGGAUCGUAAAACUCUGUGAUUAGGGAAGAACAAAUGUGUAAGUAACUAUGCACGUCUUGACGGUACCUAAUCAGAAAGCCACGGCUAACUACGUG
rnacentral:rRNA from 1 species